UAAUGCUGGCAUAAUAAUUCCCGGUUGCCAUUUUCUGACAUUUGAAAAGAUCUGAAGAUACGCCCCUUGGAUGCCUGCAGAGAAGCUCUGGGGCUUCAGUCAAUGACUCAGGGUAGCCACCGAACAUGAUGCUCGGGCAGUGGGUGCCACCUGGACUCCACUCUCCCCUCUCUCUGGGAUCAUAGAGUCCAAGGUGUUCUGUGGCCUCUCGGCCAAUCCCAGCAGCUCAGCGUGCAGAAGACCGAGGAGCCAUUGGUCAGUGUAGGAGGUGCCUGGAGUUUUGGAGAUGGGAUCCACAGGUCUCUUCACACCGAACGCCUCUUCCCCUCUUGUGCCAGCUUGAUGCUGACUUCAAUAUGUUUGGGCUGCUGGGCCCAUGGGAGGAGAAAGGCUGGGGGAAUUCAACACAACACGAAAUAAUCAACAAAUUCGGGGAAUGUUAAUCUGACCAUCACCAGUUACAAAUGAUGUUUCAUGCUACCUUCUAUUCCUGCCUUCAUAAAUCAAGCUCUAAAUCUCCAGGAAAAAAUGUGCUCAGGAUGGCCAGAGAAAUGUCCUUCCAACUGUGCAUGGAAAGGUAUGAUUUUGUGCAGCAGGUGAAGGACUGGUUAGAGUAAGUGUGUGCUGAGCUUUUGUGUUUGAAAGCGAGCCUGUGCACUUCUAACGAUUGGAAGGUUUCCUUGCCUUCUCCGAUCUUACACACAGCAAGGACAGCAAAGCCUUCCAGACCUGCCUGUGACAUGCACUGCACAUUCUAAAGAUGCCUAUGCAAUGGAAAACACCACUGUCUGCUCCAGCACAGCUGCCAUUCUUCCAUCUUAUCGACCUUAAUGCAACAACUCCUCACAGGCAGAGAUUUUAAAAUGUGUUCUUGGCAGAAGAGAGACUCAAAGAUGGGACAAAUGUGUCAUUUAAAUGCCUGUUAAAAUGGAAACAGACAUAGUAUAGUCAGAGGAUUGUGGCAGCUAAGAACAUAGUCUCUGGAGCAAAUCUGCAUGGGUGGCAAUGCCAAGCACAUGAGGUCCUAGUUGUAUGAACUUAGGAAAAGAAAAAGAGAACAUAUAUCCCCCUACCUUUUGAUUUCCAACAGUCUACUGAGAGGCCAAGAUUAUUUGCAGGGAAAGAAAAGGGGUCAAAAUGUUUUGCCAGUAACUCCCAAAUCAUCUACAGCCAAGGAGAAAAGUGUUUCAAGACAGAGGUGCUCAAUGGUAUCAAAUACUGCCAACAGACCAAGUAAUACAUGCAUUGAAGUGUCUACUGGAUCUAGCUAUAUGAAUUUUUAAUUUAGGACACUUAGGCCAUACUGAAGCAAGGUGACAAAAUGAAUAGCUACAAUGUCUCGUGAAUCUUGGGUUUCCAUUCACCCUGGUAUUCAAGAGAAAUUCUUGCAUCAUGGAAGUUGCAGUUGGAUAGGACUUUCUCAGCUGAACACUGUCAUCUGCCAGAGCUUCAGGCAAGAACCCAGAACAGAUGAAACCCCAGACAUGACAAAAUAAGCCAAAGAAUACCAGGCCAAGGUGUGAAAGGCCAGAUGAGAACAAGCAGCGUACACGAUUCUGUUGCCAACAGAUCUCCCCUAACAGUGUCGUGCACCAAAUUUCCACAGUGAAUGUCAGGAAAAAAUGGCAAUUGAGGUGGGUGGUCAAAAGAGAAGCACAGUCUAUGAUGAAGUCACCCCAGAGAAGUCCUUUUUCCGUUUUCUCCUGAGAAAUUACCAGAAGAAAUUAAAAUCCUUUUGAGUAUUGCAUUUAUC
rnacentral:lncRNA from 1 species